rnacentral:rRNA from 1 species
AUACGUAGGUGGCAAGCGUUAUCCGGAUUUACUGGGCGUAAAGGGCGUGUAGGCGGUCUUGCAAGUCAGAAGUGAAAUUCCUGAGCUCAACUCGGGCGCUGCUUCUGAAACUGCAGGACUUGAGUGCUGGAGGGGAUAGCGGAAUUCCUAGUGGAGCGGUAAAAUGCGCAGAUAUUAGGAAGAACACCGGUGGCGAAGGCGGCUAUCUGGACAGUACCUGACGCGGAGGCGCGAAAGCGUGGGGAGCAAACAGGAUUAGAUACCCUGUUAGUCCACGCCUUAAACGAUGAAUACUAGGUGUAGGAGGUAUCGACUCCUCCUGUGCCGCAGCUAACGCAAUAAGUAUUCCACCUGGGGAGUACGGCCGCAAGGUUGAAACUCAAAGGAAUUGCCGGGG